CACUCUGUAAUCUUUCAGGCACUGUAAAACUGAAGCUGGCCGCAGGGAAAAUAAACAUUACAAUACCCGGCACUUAAACAAUUGUACCUAUACAAUUAAGUAACAAAAGCGUGAGGCACCUGGAAUCACAGCAUUUGUGCCUAAUGCCAGCAACAAUAUAAAGCAUUCAAGUGACAUUUGAUAAUGAGCAGACAGUGGAGGCAUUACACACGUCUUUAGAAGAAUUAGACUUCCUACCUUGAAAAGACAGACGAGGAAGAAGAAUUCACAGUCACCUGAAGUAUUAGCCUGCAGCAGUCAUUAUGAAAAGCCCCCACAAGAAGCUUGCAAAAUCCUCAGAGGAUUUCUUAAAUCUUAUGAAAAAGGGAAAGAAAUAGAGUAAAAGAAGAUUUCUACUCAAAAAAGAAAAUGUAGAGUUAGAAACCAAGGAGUACUUAAUCUAUUGACAUUUUGAACUCUUACCACCCAGAUUUCUCUUUAUACAUUACUUUGUAUUAUUUCAAUAGUACUUAAAAAUUUCUGCAU
rnacentral:lncRNA from 1 species